CUCACCACCUUCCCCUGGCUUCAAAGCCUCACUAUGGCGGUGGCCUGAGAUUAAUAUCCUUGGUCUGAUUUAUAUAUGUUGUUUGAGGUAUUUUCAAAAGUCAUGUAGUUUAUGAAAGAAUUGCAGCUCUAGCAGGCAAACAAAUAAACAAGACCCCCAUAUCUCUAACCUACAGGAUUGCCCUGAUUACCAUGACUCACUUGGUCAUUUCAACAAUGCCCUUUCAUGUCACCAGGGCUGUGUGUGCAAAAUUAGGACACUACCUGGACCUCCAGCUAAACACUAAAAAAUACUCUAGGAUUCCCAGUCGGAAAGUGGUGAGGGUGUGAUCAAAAAUCCAAAGAAGUAUUUCCGCAGCCCAAGUUCAUACUCUUCACAACAUGAAAGACAGAACUUGCUCUGCUUUAUUUAGCUUAGUGUGUCCUGUGGCAUGUGAGGCAUCCAGGGUAGCAGACACCAGCAAAUUGCUAGGAAGAAACUGAGAGGCAAUGACCCACCGACUGCACGGCAGUAUUUCCAAACCGGUGACAGAGCUGAACCAGGAUCAGACUGCUCUUUAAAAACACCUGUUCUGUAAACCUGAGUUAGUGAGGGCAGCAUCUUCCAACUGACUCAGCCCAGCCACUGCUGCCCCUCUGCCAGAGGGCCUGGUGCCAUUCGGGCAAGGACUCAGGUGCCUUACCCCCAGACCCUUCAUGACCCACUGCCACACAAAGGCGAGGGUGCCAGCACCAAUGGGCACAUCCAUCCCAAUCUGCCAUUUCAAAGCAGCUGCCUGCAGGCUGUGUCCGCCCUCUGCUAGCAGAGUGCAAUGGGGCAGAGAAAUUAAAAUCCAGGGGAGCUGGGGAAAAAAGAAAGAUGGAAAUCUUAAAGACAGUAUCUUGGAAGCAUACGUUUUAGAAUCACUGCAGCCAGUUCCCUGUCAAGAAAAUAUUGGCCUUGUUGGUUGGUCCAAUCUCAUGUAGCCACAGAUGGUUUUAUGCCUCACUAUUCAGAUACCCACUCCCCAGAGUAGUGAGAAACAAAGGAUGUGGUGCUUUGUGGUGUAGUUAUUCUGCCACCUAGUGUUACAUGUAAAAACAAACAAAUAAAUUAAAAAAAAAAGGCUAUGUUAGAAGAGUAAAAGUAGAAUCAUG
rnacentral:lncRNA from 1 species